rnacentral:rRNA from 1 species
UACGAGUGCCCCAAGCGUUAUCCGGAAUUAUUGGGCGUAAAGGGCGCGUAGGCGGGCCGCCAGGUCCGGGGUGAAAGCCUCCAGCUCAACUGGAGAAGUGCCUUGGAUACCGGCGGCCUCGAGGGAGGUAGGGGCGUGCGGAACUUCGGGUGGAGCGGUGAAAUGCGUAGAUAUCCGAAGGAACACCGGUGGCGAAAGCGGCGCGCUGGAUCUCUUCUGACGCUGAGGCGCGAAAGCCAGGGGAGCAAACGGG